rnacentral:rRNA from 1 species
AUUGAACGCUGGCGGCAGGCCUAACACAUGCAAGUCGAACGCGUGGCGGACGGGUGAGUAAUGUCUGGGAAACUGCCCGAUGGAGGGGGAUAACUACUGGAAACGGUAGCUAAUACCGCAUACCAUCGGAUGUGCCCAGAUGGGAUUAGCUGGUAGGUGGGGUAACGGAUCACCUAGGCGACGAUCCCUAGCUAGUCUGAGAGGAUGACCAGCGACACUGGAACUUGGACACUGUCCAGACUCCUACGAGAGGGAGCAGUGGGGAAUAUUGCACAAUGGUCGGAAGCCUGAUGCAGUCAUGGCGCGUGUAUGAAGAAGGCCUUCGGUGUGGAAAGUACUUUCAGCGGUGAGGCGUUACUCGCAGAAGAAGCACCGGCUAACUCCGUGCCAGCAGCCGCGGUAAUUC